GUGCAGUCCUGGGAACGGUUAAGAUGGUACACAGGACCCUCAAGCUCCCAGGUCUCUGGUAGAGAAUCCUGGAGGAGGGCUGCAGAACACAGCGACACAUCCAGGAUAUGAUGUCCUAUAGGCAAUUAAAUAUGGAGUCGAUGGACCUUCCACGGUCCAUAUCAUCUGCAUACUGGUGGAAAGAAAUGUUGUAUUUAUGAAUUAUCCUGACUAACAGGAGCAUGUACAGAUUAAAUAUUUAUUGCUGAUACCAGGAUUGAACCUUGAGGAACUCCACAAGGCAAUAUUUUAUUCCUAUUCACGGCCUCUCAGGUAGGUUUGGUGUGAAGCCAACCCAGUUUUAUAGUUGAUGAAAGAAUAUGUGGUUUACUAUAUCAAAAGCAGAGCUACAAAAAAAACACUGUAUAAAUAGGUUACCUGCAUCUAAAUUCACUCUAAGAUUAUCGGAAACAUCAAGAAGUGCUCUUUCUGCACUAUAACGAGUCCCAAAAUCAGAUUUAAGGUAUUGGAAUUGAGACAAUCAUAUAAUUGAAAUAACUGAGUAGAAAACAAAUUUUGCCGAUAGGAUAAAAAUAUUUGAAAUUGGUCUACAAUUGUUUAAAAUUGUUUAUGCCCAUGAUGUACAGGCAUACCCCAUAAUAAAGAAUUUGUAUUGGAGUGUACGGUAAAUGUAAAAUCACUAUGCCCAAGCAAUUUAUAUAUAUAAAAUUCAUGAACAAAUUAAUAAUAUAAAAACAAUUAACCAUAAUUUUCUAAAAUUAAAUGAUUUAAAUUCCCCUAAAGAGAUCCAAAAGAAACACUCGCUACAUCUUAUUUCAAACUGUAAUAUGCUAAUGCUAAAAAGUUAAAUAACUAUAAUAUGCUAAAAUAUACAUAUACAACUGUAGAUACAAUACUAGUAUCACCUGGAAACAUCAUUAUUAUUCUGAGCAUGUCUAGACAGUGACCCUACUUCAAGAGCCAAUUUCAAGGGUUUUUAUGUUUGUUUUUUGUUUUUGUUUAUUGUACUGAACCAGCUUUGACAGUAUAAUUGCUGUACUAAAACCUGGCCUGAAAGAUGUGGUGAGACUAGAUGCUAAAAGCUAUAGUCUGAUCUCAGUAUCAGAUGUUGUAUACUGUUGUAUGUUGUAUACAGAGAGAGCUAGCUCUAAAGAUCUGAAAUUUCAGGCUUCAAGAUACAGCACAGCUUGUCCCAUUUAGCACAUAAUUAAUAUAUUUCAUUUUAGAAAUCAUAGAAACUUCCAUGAUGGUCAUUCAGUUGCGUAUUUCUGAUUGAGGUUUUUGUUUUGGGUUUUUGUUUUGUUUUGGUUUUUUUGGAAGAGAAUAUGGGUGUACCACAAAAUAAAUAUUUCUGAUUAAUGCCAAAAUGCUAUGGAAUUUUACUGUAAUACAUAUAAAACACAAACAAUAAUAAAACAUACAAAAAAGCGAUUCAAAAUUAAAACUGGGGGUGUAUUUCUUGCAUACAACAGUUGAUAAAAUAUCAAGUUGUGUGAUUUUCUUUCUAUAGUUGAAGCUGAUAGUAGUGUUAAUGCUGUUUACAAUAUGACAGGUAUAAAACAUUAAGUUUACACAAGUUCACAUACAUUAAUUCAAGUGGCACACAUAUGUUUAAGGAUUACUCUAAAUAACUCUAAACCAUAAGAUUCUAUAUUUAUUUAAUAAUUGUUAUUGUAUCAUAAUCAAGUAUCGACAUACAUAAGACAAAGGGCUGGGAUGUUUUGGAGUGUAUUCUUUCAUCACGUUUGUAUCAGUCUUGGGAAAGUAAUAUGUAAAUGC